CGAACGGGUGAGUAACACGUGGGUGAUCUGCCCUGCACUUCGGGAUAAGCUUGGGAAACCGGGUCUAAUACCGGAUAGGACUACGGACUGCAUGGUCUGUGGUGGAAAGCUUUUGCGGUGUGGGAUGGGCCCGCGGCCUAUCAGCUUGUUGGUGGGGUGAUGGCCUACCAAGGCGACGACGGGUAGCCGGCCUGAGAGGGUGUCCGGCCACACUGGGACUGAGAUACGGCCCAG
rnacentral:rRNA from 1 species